rnacentral:rRNA from 1 species
UACGUAGGGGGCAAGCGUUGGUCCGGAAUCAUUGGGCGGUAAAGAGCGUGUAGGCGGCUCGGUAAGUCCGCUCUGAAAGCCCGGGGGCUCAACCCCGGGAGGCGGGCGGAUACUGUCGGGCUAGAGUCCGGAAGAGGCGAGUGGAAUUCCUGGUGUAGCGGUGAAAUGCGCAGAUAUCAGGAGGAACACCAAUGGCGAAGGCAGCUCGCUGGGACGGUACUGACGCUGAGACGCGAAAGCGUGGGGAGCAAACAGG